UACGUAGGGGGCGAGCGUUGUCCGGAUUUAUUGGGCGUAAAGCGCGUGUAGGCGGCCUAGCAUGUCGGGUGUGAAAGCCCUCGGCUCAACCGAGGAAGUGCGCCCGAAACUGCAGAGCUUGAGUACCGGAGAGGAUGGCGGAAUUCCCCAAGUAGAGGUGAAAUUCGUAGAUAUGGGGAGGAACACCGGUGGCGAAGGCGGCCAUCUGGACGGAUACUGACGCUGAGACGCGAAAGCGUGGGUAGCAAACAGG
rnacentral:rRNA from 1 species